AAAGCCGCAAGGUGAGUAAAGUGGCGUACGGGUGAGUAACACGUGGAUAAUCUGCCCUUUAGUGGGGAAUACCGCUGGGAAACCGGCGACAAUACCGCAUAAGCUCGAGAGAGGAAAGCAGCAAUGCGCUGAAGGAGGAGUCCGCGGUCGAUUAGUUAGUUGGCAGGGUAAAGGCCUACCAAGACUGUGAUCGAUAGCCGGCCUGAGAGGGCACACGGCCACACUGGCACUGAAACACGGGCCAGACUCCUACGGGAGGCAGCAGUGGGGAAUCUUGCACAAUGGGGGAAACCCUGAUGCAGCGACGCCGCGUGAGCGAUGAAGCCCCUCGGGGUGUAAAGCUCUUUCGGCAGGGAAGAUAAUGACGGUACCUGCAAAAGCAGCUGCGGCUAACUACGUGCCAGCAGCCGCGGUAAUACGUAGGCAGCAAGCGUUGUUCGGAGUUACUGGGCGUAAAGGGUGCGUAGGCGGCUUUUUAAGUUUGGUGUGAAAUCUCCCGGCUCAACUGGGAGGGUGCGCCGAAUACUGAGAGGCUAGAGUGUGGGAGAGGAAAGUGGAAUUCCUGGUGUAGCGGUGAAAUGCGUAGAUAUCAGGAGGAACACCGGUGGUGUAAACGGCUUUCUGGACCAUAACUGACGCUGAGGCACGAAAGCGUGGGUAGCAAACAGGAUUAGAUACCCUGGUAGUCCACGCCCUAAACGAUGCAUAUUUGGUGUGGGCCAUUCAUUUGGUCUGUGCCGGAGCUAACGCGUUAAAUAUGCCGCCUGGGGAGUACAGUCGCAAGGCUGAAACUCAAAGGAAUUGAC
rnacentral:rRNA from 1 species